CGCCUGUUUUUCAAAAACAUCGUUUUCAGCUUAUAUAUUGAAAAUACUCCCUGCCCAGUGACUAUAUGUUCAACGGCCGCGGUAUCCUGACCGUGCAAAGGUAGCAUAAUCAUUUGCCUUUUAAUUGAAGGCUAGUAUGAAUGGGAAGACGUAGAUUUAACUGUUUCUAUAUUAAAAAUAAAACUUAAACUUUAGGUGAAGAUGCCUAAAUUUAAUAGAAAGACAAGAAGACCCUAUAGAGUUUUAGCUAAACUUUAUUACCUAUAUUUUAAUAGCUUUGGUUGGGGCGACCUAGGAUAUUUAUAAACAUCCUAAAUUUUACCGAUUUAUAAAUCAUAAUAAUAGACCCUAAAACGGAUAUUUAGAAUUAACUACCUUAGGGAUAACAGGCUUAUCUUCCUAGAGAGCUCUUAUUGAUAGGAUGGUUUGGCACCUCGAUGUUGGCUUAGAGUAACUAAAUACCGCAGCAGGUAUUGAAAGUCAGUUUGUUCAACUGUUAAUUCUCUACGUGAUCUGUUUUCCAGGACCGGA
rnacentral:rRNA from 1 species